GGAAAAGUUGUCAAAAGCGGUUGUUACUAAAUCUAAAAUUCGUCAUAAGUCUAUAUAAUUAAAUGUUAAGCUAUAUUAUUUUUCUUAAUUAAACCAUAUAAGCGGAGAACUUACCCUCGUCCUUGCAGUACUUCGAUUAAAUAAUUGACCCUUGAGCAGAUCUGCUGCGUCGUUGUCGUUCUUUUGCCUAAAUUGGCAGAAUUGGCAGUAUGAUUUAAGCGCAUAAUUAAUGAAAAGAAAUAACCGAAAAAGUAUUGUCGAGACCAAAAAACGUUAAGAAAACGUAUUACCUGUCAAGAUUAUUGGGAAAUAAUGACCCGGGAGAAGUUCUCUAUUGGUUUUGGGCUCCAACAAUUUUUCUUGAAGUUAAAGUUAUGCUAACGAAUCGGACGGAUGCGGAAAUACAGACCUUGAGGUCGCGUUUCCACUCUUCAAUAAUGCAAUGAUGAUCGCUCAUGAUCCCAUCCUGGACAUUGCAACAAAUGCCGCAUGCAUAUACAUUGCGCACAAGAACAAUUCAGAGAACAGGGCUGGUUACAAGCCCAGAAAGGCAAGGAGACAACAGAGGGCCGAGGAAAGACUCCCUGCUGGUUGCACAAGCAAUCGGCGACAAACGCCUUGGAAUGGCACGGUCUAUUCUCUGACUAGAGCUUCAAAUUACCGCAAGCCGAUAUUGACGACCCAGAGAAAGCAGCUAACACCUCGAUCGGCCAUUUCAAAUCCAGGCGUCAUCGGUGCUGUCAAUCCAAUAUAAAAAUUGUCUUUAAGUAGCCUGGGAGGCGAGAAGAGGAAGUCAGCAGGAUGGUAAAACCUAAGCCACCGCUAUACGCCGCGCUGAGCCCUAGUGGCUCGGCGAUUGUUAAAAAGUUUAAAAGUUAAAAAUUUUACUGAAUCGAAGUUGCCAGAAGCAGUAACGUAGUGUAAAGCAUCGUUCGGCGAUGAAUUCCCUACUUUCCUCAUUGACAUACAGCUCUAUCACGAUGUUGUCGCAGAACUGAGGGACCUGCCGCUCCACAUCAUUGCAGUCUAGGGUGGAGCGAUUGACCACGGCCCACUUGUCGGUGUUUAGGCCCGGGUUCUGCGACUCCUCACGUCCUCAGGAGGCCGAAGAACUCGAUUAAGGGCUGGCAGGAGUGCGGCGGGCACAUACCAUAGACGGCUGACAUGACCCAUUGGGCUGUUUCCUCAUCCUCGCAGACCACUAGCAUGCUGGAGUCGAACGUCUGCGGAUAGAUACUCAAAUCAGCUGUUCGCUAGCACACUUUUAAAAGCUGUCAACAAGUUUUGUUGCCACUUUUCAAGAUAUAUUAACAUCGAAAACUCGACUUUACGCCAAAAAAAUCGAUUUCUGGACCACAGUUCACUGCGAGUAUUCUUACUCGAACCAAUUCCCACACAAAUAAUGGCGUGCAAGUCGGAGCCAGCAGCAGCGCAGUGGAGCAACUGGUGGAGUGCAAAAAUAGGAAUAUAGGAAUUGCAGAAAGAGGGAUACUUGGCCGCCGUAUGCGAACACAAUGCCCGAGAACCGGCGAUACGGUCUGGUGAUAACAAACCAGAGUUCGGACGCGGACGUUGUGUACACCUUUGCCCUGAUUGUGAACGCCAACCGACGCCGAUGCGUAGAAUGCCGCGCUGUUCUUCUUACUUAUAACGGGGAUUUCAUCUGGCGCUGCUGUUUGCCACCAUAGGCUUCAUACCUCAACCUUAGCUAACAUGACGUUCGACUCCAGCAUGCUAGUGGUCUGCGAGGAUGAGGAAACCGCCCAAUGGGUCAUCUCAGCCGUCUAUGGUAUGUGCCCGCCGCACUCCUGCCAGCCCUUCAUCGAGUUCUUCGGCCUCCUGAGGACGUGAGGAGUCGCAGAACCCGGGCCUAAACACCGACAAGUGGGCCGUGGUCAAUCGCUCCACCCUAGACUGCAAUGAUGUGGAGCGGCAGGUCCCUCAGUUCUGCG